GCAUUUGGACCAAAUCCAACCAUCACCUUUCCCAUCCUGAAGAAAUUCACUCUUGUAAGCAUCAGUUUGCUGAUUUCCAUAUGAUUCCUGAAGAUCAGCUGCCUCAACCUGAAUCUCUACCCAAUUGUAAUCCACUGCCGUGUUCUAAACAACUUGAAGACAGUCACAUCAGAGACAUCAAACCAAUACAUCAAGAUCAUCAUUUAUAGAAAUCAUCAUAUUCAUCACUCGAUGUUACUUACUUUGAUAGGAUCCUUCUAACCUUCCAUUUCCAAAAAGAUAAGCCAUGGAUGAUUCAGCUUGUUGCUGUUACUUGCAUUUCUUUAGAUGAAGGACCUUCACCCAUUGAUAGCCGGCAUCUAAACAGACCUCAAACCUGCAGCA
rnacentral:lncRNA from 1 species